CUACGGGUCGCUCCAGUGGGGAAUAUUGCACAAUGGGGGAAACCCUGAUGCAGCAACGCCGCGUGGAGGAUGACGCAUUUCGGUGUGUAAACUCCUUUUAUAUCCCAAGAUAAUGACGGUAGGAUAUGAAUAAGCACCGGCUAACUCCGUGCCAGCAGCCGCGGUAAUACGGAGGGUGCAAGCGUUACUCGGAAUCACUGGGCGUAAAGGGCGCGUAGGCGGGUUGUCAAGUCUUGAGUGAAAUCCAACGGCUCAACCGUUGAACUGCUUGAGAAACUGGCAGCCUAGAGUAAGGGAGAGGUAGAUGGAAUUGGUGGUGUAGGGGUAAAAUCCGUAGAGAUCACCAGGAAUACCCAUUGCGAAGACGAUCUGCUGGAACUUUACUGACGCUGAGGCGCGAAAGCGUGGGGAGCAAACAGGAUUAGAUACCCGCGUAGUC
rnacentral:rRNA from 1 species